GAUGAACGCUGGCGGCGUGCUUAAUACAUGCAAGUCGAGCGAACGGACGAGGAUCUUGCGUCUCUGUUGUUAGCGGCGGACGGGUGUGUAACACGUGGAUACCCUACCUAUAAGACUGGUAUAACUUCGGGAAACCGGAGCUUAUACCGGAUAAUAUUUUGCACCGCAUGGUUGAAUAGUGAAAUACGGUCUUGCUGUCACUACUCGCUGGAUCUGCGCUGCUUGAGGGAGUUGGUAAGGUAACAGCUUACCAAGGCAACGAUGCGUAGCCGACCUGAGAGGGUGAUCGGCCACCCUGGAACUGAGACACGGUCCAGAGUCCUACGGGAGGCAGCAGGAGGGAUUCUGGCGCAAGGGGCGGAGGCCUGAGGGAGCAACGCCGAGUGAGGGAGGAGGGUCGUCGGAUGGUAGAACUCUGUUAUCAGGGAAGAAAAUGUGUGUAAGUGUCUGUACACGUCUUGACGGUACCUAAGCAAAAAGGCACCGCUAACUUCGUU
rnacentral:rRNA from 1 species